GACGUAGGGGACGAGCGUUGUCCGGAUUUAUUGGGCGUAAAGAGCGCGUAGGCGGCUUGGUAAGUCGGAUGUGAAAUCCCGGGGCUCAACCUCGGAACUGCCUUUGAUACUGCAAGUCUCGAGUCCGGAAGAGGUGGGUGGAAUUCCUAGUGUAGAGGUGAAAUUCGUAGAUAUUAGGAAGAACACCAGUGGCGAAGGCGGCUCACUGGUCCGGUACUGACGCUGAGGUGCGAAAGCGUGGGGAGCAAACAGG
rnacentral:rRNA from 1 species